AACGCUAGCACAGGCUUAACACAUGCAAGUCGAGGGGAAACGAUAUUGGAAGCUUGCUUCCGAUAGGCGUCGACCGGCGCACGGGUGAGUAACGCGUAUCCAACCUGCCCACCACUUGGGGAUAACCUUGCGAAAGUAAGACUAAUACCCAAUGACGUCUCUAGAAGACAUCUGAAAGAGAUUAAAGAUUUAUCGGUGAUGGAUGGGGAUGCGUCUGAUUAGCUUGUUGGCGGGGUAACGGCCCACCAAGGCGACGAUCAGUAGGGGUUCUGAGAGGAAGGUCCCCCACAUUGGAACUGAGACACGGUCCAAACUCCUACGGGAGGCAGCAGUGAGGAAUAUUGGUCAAUGGACGAGAGUCUGAACCAGCCAAGUAGCGUGCAGGAAGACGGCCCUAUGGGUUGUAAACUGCUUUUAUAAGGAAUAAAGUGAGUCUCGUGAGACUUUUUGCAUGUACCUUAUGAAUAAGGACCGGCUAAUUCCGUGCCAGCAGCCGCGGUAAUACGGAAGGUCCGGGCGUUAUCCGGAUUUAUUGGGUUUAAAGGGAGCGUAGGCCGGAGAUUAAGCGUGUUGUGAAAUGUAGACGCUCAACGUCUGCACUGCAGCGCGAACUGGUUUCCUUGAGUACGCACAAAGUGGGCGGAAUUCGUGGUGUAGCGGUGAAAUGCUUAGAUAUCACGAAGAACUCCGAUUG
rnacentral:rRNA from 1 species